GACUUAGGGAAAAAAAUCUUUUUGAUUUGAUUUUCUUUUGUUUUAGAAACAAUUUCUUUGAAAUUAGUUAGUUUCUAAUUUUAGAUUAGUUUCCAUUUUAAGUUAGUUGCCAUUAAUUUUUUAUUUUUUCCUUUAUAUUGGACAUGUAAACGAUGAAGAAGUUCAGUUUAAGAUUUGAAGAAUAGAGAUUUGAUUAAGAGUUUUGGUAUGAGAACCAUGGCUGCCGAUUUCCCCUUCUUCCUCCUCUGAAAUUUUCUCAUCUCUUCUCUGUUCAUUCUCUUCUUCCUUUUUAUUAUUCUGGUUUCCUUUUCCUUCUCUGAUAUUCUUCUUCCUUUCCUCUUUGUAUUCUGGUUUUUUUUACCCUGUUAUGGGCGACAGUUGCAGCCCUACUGAGGUGUUUUGAGCUCCUUUAUAUGUGAGUUGUUUGGGCCAAGGAUUUGAUCACAGGAAGCCCUCCCCUAGGCGACACAAAUCAUCAAAUUUCAGCUGUCGAAAAGUCCCUGUACCAUAUGUUAUCAUACCUGCAACUGAGACCGACUCUGUUCUACCGCCAGGUUCUACUUCUGGUCAUUCCCGCAGCCUCCCAGCUUGCAAAUCCAGGUGCUUAUCUUGUGGUAUCAAUAGAGCCUUUUCCUGAGAAGCUUCGCCUGAAAUCUCAGGCCAAACCGAGACCCGUCAGCUGAGCUCCAUCGAUCUGAAGCCUCUCCUUACCAUUGGGUUCUUACUCCCUAACGUGACCUAAAGUUGCAUGCCACAGUGAUGAAUGCAAGACACAGGAAAAGGAAGACAAGGACAAAAAGGUCUGACUCAUUCGAUGCACGGGGCAUUGUCAGACAACAUGGGUCUGAGGAAUGGGGGGAGUAUCUUAUCCGAGAAGCACAUCUUUCGCAAAGGUUCGUGUUUGAUGACAAUGGAUAUUAUCACUGCUGUGCUUCAAUUCCCUUUCCUGAAAACAUGCAAAUAGAAUGAUUUUUCCACCUUGGAAGGAAUCUUGAUGUUCUCUUUUGCAUUCAGUAUGUUGAAAAACUAGAGAAGGGUCUAUCUAUCGACGGGAUUUUCUUAUGCAUUUUAUGUUUAUGUACUGUUUAGAGAUGUGGUUAGUUGAUUUGUCAUUAUAUUUUCCUUGCAGAGCUGUAGUUAUUUAAAAAGACCUAAACCCUACUCACAA